rnacentral:rRNA from 1 species
CGGCAAAAGCUCAAAUUUGAAAUCUGGCAUCUUCGGUGUCCGAGUUGUAAUUUGAAGAAGGUAACUUUGGAGUUGGCUCUUGUCUAUGUUCCUUGGAACAGGACGUCACAGAGGGUGAGAAUCCCGUGCGAUGAGAUGCCCAAUUCUAUGUAAAGUGCUUUCGAAGAGUCGAGUUGUUUGGGAAUGCAGCUCUAAGUGGGUGGUAAAUUCCAUCUAAAGCUAAAUAUUGGCGAGAGACCGAUAGCGAACAAGUACAGUGAUGGAAAGAUGAAAAGAACUUUGAAAAGAGAGUGAAAAAGUACGUGAAAUUGUUGAAAGGGAAGGGUUUAAGAUCAGACUUGGUAUUUUGUAUGGCUUCCUCUCGGGGUGGUCCUCUACGUUUUACCGGGCUAGCAUCAGUUUGGAUGGUAGGAUAAUGGCAUUGGAAUGUGACAUUGCUUCGGUGAUGUGUUAUAGCCUUUGUUGAUACUGCCUAUCUAGACUG